rnacentral:rRNA from 1 species
CCGGAGAAGAAGCCCCGGCUAACUUCGCGCCAGCAGCCGCGGUAAUUCGAAGGCGGCUAGUGUUGUUAGGAUUUACUGGGCGUAAAGCGCACGUAGGCGGACUUUUAAGUCUGGGGUGAAAUCCCGGGGCUCAACCCUGGAACUGCCUUCGAUACUGGAAGUCUUGAGUAUGGUAGAGGUGAGAGGAAUUCCGAGUGUAGAGGUGAAAUUAGAAGAUAUUAGGAGGACCACCUGUGGAGAAGGGGGCUCACUGGACCAUUUCUGACGCUGAGGUGAGAAAGCGUGGGGAGCCAACAGGAUUAGAUACCCUGGUAGUCCACGCCGUAAACGACGAAUGUUAGCCGUUGGGGAGUCACUCUUCGGGCCGCAGCUAACGC